rnacentral:rRNA from 1 species
UACGUAGGGGGCGAGCGUUGUCCGGAUUUAUUGGGCGUAAAGGGUCCGGAGGCGGUCGUUGAAGUUUCGCGUGACAGUCCUCGGCUUAACUGAGGAAGGAUGCGGAAAACUGAGCGACUUGAGGGUGUAAGAGGAAAGCGGAAUUCCGGGUGGAGUGGUGAAAUGCGUAGAUAUCCGGAGGAACACCAAAGGCGAAGGCACUGUCCUGGCAUUCUGCCUGACGCUCAUGGGCGACAGCUAGGGGAGCGAACGGG